UACGAAGGGGGCUAGCGUUGUUCGGAAUUACUGGGCGUAAAGCGUGCGCAGGCGGGUUUGUAAGCCAGAUGUGAAAUCCCCGGGCUUAACCUGGGAAUGGCAUUUGGGACUGCAAGGCUGGAGUGCGGCAGAGGAGACUGGAAUUCCUGGUGUAGCAGUGAAAUGCGUAGAUAUCAGGAGGAAUACCGAUGGCGAAGGCAGGUCUCUGGGCUGACACUGACGCUCAUGCACGAAAGCGUGGGGAGCAAACAGG
rnacentral:rRNA from 1 species